GACGAACGCUGGCGGCGUGCUUAACACAUGCAAGUCGAACGGUGAAGCCCUUCGGGGUGGAUCAGUGGCGAACGGGUGAGUAACACGUGAGCAACCUGCCCCUGGCUCUGGGACAACCACUGGAAACGGUGGCUAAUACCGGAUACGACCCGCCUCGGCAUCGAGUGUGGGUGGAAAGUUUUUCGGCUGGGGAUGGGCUCGCGGCCUAUCAGCUUGUUGGUGAGGUGAAGGCUCACCAAGGCGACGACGGGUAGCCGGCCUGAGAGGGCGACCGGCCACACUGGGACUGAGACACGGCCCAGACUCCUACGGGAGGCAGCAGUGGGGAAUAUUGCACAAUGGGCGAAAGCCUGAUGAAGCGACGCCGCGUGAGGGAUGACGGCCUUCGGGUUGUAAACCUCUUUCAGCUCCGAAGAAGCGAAAGUGACGGUAGGAGCAGAAGAAGCACCGGCUAACUACGUG
rnacentral:rRNA from 1 species